GACGAACGCUGGCGGCGUGCUUAACACAUGCAAGUCGAACGGGAAGGCCCUGCUUUUGUGGGGUGCUCGAGUGGCGAACGGGUGAGUAACACGUGAGUAACCUGCCCUUGACUUUGGGAUAACUUCAGGAAACUGGGGCUAAUACCGGAUAGGAGCUCCUGCUGCAUGGUGGGGGUUGGAAAGUUUCGGCGGUUGGGGAUGGACUCGCGGCUUAUCAGCUUGUUGGUGGGGUAGUGGCUUACCAAGGCUUUGACGGGUAGCCGGCCUGAGAGGGUGACCGGCCACAUUGGGACUGAGAUACGGCCCAGACUCCGACGGGAGGCAGCAGUGGGGAAUAUUGCACAAUGGGCGGAAGCCUGAUGCAGCAACGCCGCGUGCGGGAUGACGGCCUUCGGGUUGUAAACCGCUUUCGCCUGUGACGAAGCGUGAGUGACGGUAAUGGGUAAAGAAGCACCGGCUAACUACGUG
rnacentral:rRNA from 1 species